UACGAGGGGGGCUAGCGUUGCUCGGAAUCACUGGGCGUAAAGCGCACGUAGGCGGCUUUCUAAGUCAGGGGUGAAAUCCUGGAGCUCAACUCCAGAACUGCCUCUGAUACUGGAGAGCUUGAGUCCGGAAGAGGUGAGUGGAACUCCGAGUGUAGAGGUGAAAUUCGUAGAUAUUCGGAAGAACACCAGUGGCGAAGGCGGCUCACUGGUCCGGUACUGACGCUGAGGUGCGAAAGCGUGGGGAGCAAACAGG
rnacentral:rRNA from 1 species